GAACCACUGACGAUACUCGUGAAUGUUC
rnacentral:ncRNA from 1 species